UACAGAGGUCCCAAGCGUUGUUCGGAUUCAUUGGGCGUAAAGGGUGCGUAGGCGGCGCGGUAAGUCGGGUGUGAAAUCUCGGGGCUUAACUCCGAAACUGCAUUCGAUACUGCCGUGCUUGAGGACUGGAGAGGAGACUGGAAUUUACGGUGUAGCGGUGAAAUGCGUAGAUAUCGUAAGGAAGACUAGUGGCGAAGGCGGGUCUCUGGACAGUUCCUGACGCUGAGGCACGAAGGCCAGGGGAGCAAACGGG
rnacentral:rRNA from 1 species